rnacentral:rRNA from 1 species
CCUACGGGAGGCAGCAGUAGGGAAUCUUCCACAAUGGACGAAAGUCUGAUGGAGCAAUGCCGCGUGCAGGAUGAAGGCCUUCGGGUUGUAAACUGCUUUUGUACGGAACGAAAAAGCUCCUUCUAAUACAGGGGGCCCAUGACGGUACCGUAAGAAUAAGCACCGGCUAACUACGUGCCAGCAGCCGCGGUAAUACGUAGGGUGCGAGCGUUAAUCGGAAUUACUGGGCGUAAAGCGCGCGCAGGUGGUUCCUUAAGUCUGAUGUGAAAGCCCCCGGCUCAACCGGGGAGGGUCAUUGGAAACUGGGGAACUUGAGUGCAGAAGAGGAUAGUGGAAUUCCAAGUGUAGCGGUGAAAUGCGUAGAGAUUUGGAGGAACACCAGUGGCGAAGGCGACUGUCUGGUCUGUAACUGACACUGAGGCGCGAAAGCGUGGGGAGCAAACAGGAUUAGAUACCCUGGUAGUCCACGCCGUAAACGAUGAGUGCUAAGUGUUGGGGGGUUUCCGCCCCUCAGUGCUGCAGCUAACGCAUUAAGCACUCCGCCUGGGGAGUACGGUCGCAAGACUGAAACUCAAAUGAAUUGACGGGG